rnacentral:rRNA from 1 species
UACGUAGGGUGCAAGCGUUAAUCGGAAUUACUGGGCGUAAAGCGUGCGCAGGCGGUGAUGUAAGACAGUUGUGAAAUCCCCGGGCUCAACCUGGGAACUGCAUCUGUGACUGCAUUGCUGGAGUGCGGCAGAGGGGGAUGGAAUUCCGCGUGUAGCAGUGAAAUGCGUAGAGAUCUGGAGGAACACCGAUGGCGAAGGCAGCCUUCUGGGCCAACACUGACGCUCAUGCACGAAAGCGUGGGGAGCAAACAGG